AGAGUUUGAUCCUGGCUCAGGAUGAACGCUAGCGGCAGGCCUAAUACAUGCAAGUCGAACGGUAACAGGUCCUUCGGGAUGCUGACGAGUGGCGGACGGGUGCGUUACGCGUAUGCAAUCUACCUUUCAGUGGGGGAUAGCCUGGAGAAAUUCUGAUUAACACCGCAUGAUAUAAUUGAGUCGCAUGGCUUGAUUAUUAAAAUUUUUUGCUGAAAGAUGAGCAUGCGUGACAUUAGCUAGUUGGUAAGGUAACUGCUUACCAAGGCUACGAUGUCUAGCUGGUCUGAGAGGAUGAUCAGCCACACUGGGACUGAGACACGGCCCAGACUCCUACGGGAGGCAGCAGUAGGGAAUAUUGGACAAUGGGCGCAAGCCUGAUCCAGCCAUGCCGCGUGAAGGAAGAAGGUCCUCUGGAUUGUAAACUUCUUUUCUGGAAGAAUAAACGAUUGCUAUAUGCAGUUCUGAAGGUACUCCAGGAAUAAGCACCGGCUAACUCCGUGCCAGCAGCCGCGAUAAUACGGAGGGUGCAAGCGUUGUCCGGAUUUAUUGGGUUUAAAGGGUGCGCAGGCGGAUUAAUAAGUCAGUGGUGAAAUCUUACGGCUCAACCGUAAAACUGCCAUUGAUACUGUUGAUCUUGAGUGUGUCUGAGGUGGUUGGAAUACGUAGUGUAGCGGUGAAAUGCAUAGAUAUUACGUAGAACACCUAUUGCGAAGGCAGAUCACUAAGACAUAACUGACGCUGAGGCACGAAAGCGUGGGGAGCGAACGGGAUUAGAUACCCCGGUAGUCCACGCCGUAAACGAUGGAUACUAGAUGUACGGACUUCGGUCUGUGUGUCCAAGCGAAAGCGAUAAGUAUCCCACCUGGGGAGUACGUCCGCAAGGAUGAAACUCAAAGGAAUUGACGGGGGCCCGCACAAGCGGUGGAGCAUGUGGUUUAAUUCAUGAUACGCGAGGAACCUUACCUGGGCUAUAAUGCCUCUGACAGAUUUGGAAACAGAUUUUCCCUUCGGGGCAGAGUGCAAGGUGCUGCAUGGUUGUCGUCAGCUCGUGCCGUGAGGUGUUGGGUUAAGUCCCGCAACGAGCGCAACCCCUGUUGUUAGUUACCAGCAUGUAAUGGUGGGGACUCUAACAAGACUGCCUUCGCAAGGAGGAGGAAGGUGGGGACGACGUCAAAUCAUCAUGGCCCUUACGUCCAGGGCUACACACGUGCUACAAUGGGCGGUACAGAGGGUAGCGACACCGCGAGGUGAAGCAAAUCUCAAAAAGCCGCUCUCAGUUCGGAUUGGAGUCUGCAACUCGACUCCAUGAAGCUGGAAUCGCUAGUAAUCGCAGAUCAGCUACGCUGCGGUGAAUACGUUCCCGGGCCUUGUACACACCGCCCGUCAAGCCAUGGGAGCCGGGGGUGCCUGAAGUCAGUGACCUAACCUUCGGGAAGGAGCUGCCUAGGGUAAAACUGGUGACUAGGGCUAAGUCGUAACAGGGUA
rnacentral:rRNA from 1 species